GAAGGACGGGGGGCGAGAGCUAAUAACUAGACCGGGAGGCGAGAGCGUGCGGGUGCGGAGACUCCGGGCGGGAAGAAGGACGAGCGGGAAGUCAAGGCUCCAGCCUCUAAAUGUGGUUUGAUAUGUACUACCUUGAGACAUGAACCAGCGGUAUUCUGUUCAUACCCACUCAGAGAUGUCUUGACCUGAAUGCAAUGCAGUCUCACACCCGGAAGUGGAUGCUGGACCCAAAGACAG
rnacentral:lncRNA from 1 species